UCUGACACAGGUGCUGCACGGCUGUCGUCAGCUCGUGUCGUGAGAUGUUGGGUUAAGUCCCGUAACGAGCGCAACCCUUGUCCUUAGUUACCAGCACGUUAUGGUGGGCACUCUAAGGAGACUGCCGGUGACAAACCGGAGGAAGGUGGGGAUGACGUCAAGUCAUCAUGGCCCUUACGGCCUGGGCUACACACGUGCUACAAUGGUCGGUACAAAGGGUUGCCAAGCCGCGAGGUGGAGCUAAUCCCAUAAAACCGAUCGUAGUCCGGAUCGCAGUCUGCAACUCGACUGCGUGAAGUCGGAAUCGCUAGUAAUCGUGAAUCAGAAUGUCACGGUGAAUACGUUCCCGGGCCUU
rnacentral:rRNA from 1 species